rnacentral:snRNA from 1 species
GUACUCGCCUGACAGGGGAGAUCCCGAAGGUGCUUUGCCCCAGGUGAGCCUCCUCCAUUGCACUCCGGAUGUGCUGACUCCUGUCAUUUCCCCAAGUGUGGUAAAGUCGACCGCAUAAUCUGUGGCGGUGGGGGACUGCGUUCACACUUUCUCCUG